CGCGGUCACACACGAGGGUGGGUUUCAGCUCCCACUUGUUUUUUUGGUCAGGUUCCCCAAGAAACAGACUCGGGAUUUGCAUGCAGGAGUCUUAUUGGGGAACGCUUUCAGGAACUACCACCCCGUAUGGGAGCGAGAAAAGCAGGAUUGUGCAGAAGGAGAAGUUGAACAACUCCUGGAAAGCUCUGAAGCUGGGAUCAUCCUUCCAGAAUGUCUUGGAUUGAAACAAGGGCCUUAUCUUGUGCAAGAUUCAUGUGUCGGUGAGCUCAUUUCCACCAGAACUCAGCCCAGGCUGCUGUGGGAUGGAAUCACCUGCACCCGGAUGUUCUUUCUGGGCUGGUACAUACAGUACUUUAAUCAGCAUUUAAUGACCCAGUCGAAAAUUCAUUGUUUGGACCCAAGCACUGGUGGGAAAGGCAGGAGGGGAGGCCUGCCUUCCUUCCUCCCUCCCGAGCCCUACAGCAGGCCAUGGAGUGGUGAGCGAGUUCGUACAGUGCCAACCACAUUCCCAGAAACUUCCAGCAGAGGUUAAUCCUGCUUCUCUCAGGUGGGCUUGGCCCAUUCUCUAGACUUUGGAAGGUAAUGUUCUAUAGAGGCCUGUUCUGAAGCUUUACCAGGUCAAACCGGAGAAGAACCCAACAAGUAACUCAUCCCAGCCUAACUAUUCUUCAAGGGCAAUCAACCUACAGCAUCCAAGCACAGAGAAAUCAAAUCCAUGGAGAAUCUUCAAAUUAGGCUCAGAAUCCAUUUGGGUCACUGAAUUUACUGUUAUUAAGAUCUUAGUUGUGUUCAACCAUGAUUUGACAUACCUUAGAGUGAGAAGAUAUUCUUCCUGGCCUCAGACUAGUUGAAGGGAGAGAGAGAGACAGGCCCUUGGGUGUGGGGAGACCUCUCCUGGGAUAAUACACACAAAAAACCAAGAGCUGCUCACUGUGGUGCAGGAGACAGCAGGGCCUGAAGCCAGAGGCUCUGUGUCCUUGAAUACAAUGUUUUACUCCUCUGACCCCUGUUACUGUGAUUUGGAGAGGCAGACAAUAUAGGAUGGGCUUUGCAGGCAGGGAGGUCCAGUUAUAAUCCCAGCUCUUACUAAGUUGGGUAAGACUCACUCUGAGACUUAGUUUCUUCUGUCAUCUCUCAAUAGAAUCAUAAAGGUACUUUCCUCUUAGUGUUGUUUUAAAAUUCAGUAAAAUAAUGAAGGCUUAGCACAGGGUCUGAUGUAAAUUUUCAAUGAAUUAUUGUUGUCAAUAUUGUUCUGGAAAACAAGAGGGCAUAUUAGAAGAUCAAAAGUACUGCCAAGCAUUGAAGUGCCAAUUCUAGAUCCAGUCUCAGCCCUCUGAGAAUGGAUAUCAUUGUUUUCAAGCCAUUCAGAAACCAAUGUGAAUUGAACACCUAGUAUGAGCUCUCUGAGGGAAGAGCCAAGUCAUGCAUUUUUUAUCUUAAGGGGUCUUCAAUACCUCUAGCCCAAAACAGUAUCUCCAUCAGGAUUCUUCUCUGAUAGUGUUCAUUUCUUUUUUCUCAAUGGAUGCCUUAAAAAAAAAAUCCUACAAGGAAACCUGUACUCCUCAAAUACACCACUCAGGUGACCAUUAAAUCAUUUACAUUGUUAAUUUCUUUUCAGAUGUGUGUCUUUUUCCCUAGUUACAUCAUCAGGACCUUGAAGGUAGGGACAGGUCUUAGAUUUCUUGAUGCCCCCAUAAAUCUAGGUACAGAGUAGGUCUCUGGACAUCAGUAUAAGGCCCAUGAGCCUGUAGCUGCCCAGGUGGGUGCUGUGUGCCUGGGCGUGGGAAGGACAAAAGAGAGGUCACUAAAGGGGUUCCUGGGAAGGAAGAGCCCCUCUGACUUUAAAAGGGAGCCCAUACACUUUUUGGACAACUGGAAUAAUCAGAAAGCUGUUUUCGGGGAGGCAGCAGCCAGAAAAACCUGGGGCAUUGGGUCAACCAAAGCCCUUCCCAAGGCUGCAGUGACUGCAGCUAGUUAUCCCAGCUUCCCUACCAGCCCCAGGGCUGCAACUGAACAGUGUUGGCUUCUUAAUAAAAACAGCACCAAUGC